rnacentral:rRNA from 1 species
GAUGAACGCUGGCGGCGUGCCUAAUACAUGCAAGUCGAGCGAACAGAUGAGGAGCUUGCUCUUCUGACGUUAGCGGCGGACGGGUGAGUAACACGUGGAUAACCUACCUAUAAGACUGGGAUAACUUCGGGAAACGGUAGCUAAUACCGGAUAAUAUAUUGAACCGCAUGGUUCAUUAGUGAAAGACGGUUUUGCUGUACCUCAUAGAUGACUUCGCGCCGCAUAAGCUAUUUGGUAGGGAAACGGCUUACCAAGGCAACGAUGCGAAGCCGACCUGGAAGGGUGAUCGGCCACACUGGAACUGAGACACGGUCCAGACUCCUACGGGAGGCAGCAGUAGGGAAUCUUCCGCAAUGGGCGAAAGCCGGACGGAGCAACGCCGCGUGAGUGAUGAAGGUCUUCGGAUCGUAAAACUCUGUUAUUAGGGAAGAACAAAUGUGUAAGUAACUAUGCACGUCUUGACGGUACCUAAUCAGAAAGCCACGGCUAACUACGUG